CUGGACACCCUGUAGGAGGAUUGAGAGACAGCAGUACUGGACAGGAUCAGGGGAGUCAGAGGGAGCUUGAGCCUGAUUUCUGUUGGACUGAGGGCCCACUACAAGGGCAGAGAAGGUGCUAGGGCUGUGGGGAAUUGGCCCAAGGAAAUAGAUGGUAGUGUAGGAGGAGGGGCAGUAUGUGUCUGCUAGCUAUAGGGUCCCUGGGUUGGGAUCUCCCACUUGCCCCCAGGGGGAGUAUCCAGUAUAUGCACCUCAGUUUACCACUGAGGUGAGUGGCUAGACCAGAGACUGCAGUUUGCUGCUGAGGCAAGUGGCUGGACUGAGAACUGUCAGGUCCCCCAUAAGGGAGGCUAGAGAACCUAGUGGGGUACAGCUGGAGGAUUGUGUCCAGAAGAGCAUGCUAUGGUCAGGGGAGCAACAUGGGUCCUAAAGGUGGAGGUGAGAGUGGUAACGGGGCGAGAUACCAGUAGAUCAGGGUGCUCUGGUGAAAUGAGAGCUAAUUCCCAGGAUGGCCAGCAGGAGGUGCUGCAGUGGCAUCUAAAAGUUGGGUGUGGUGAUUUUCAGCAUCAUCAGCCUAAGGUCUUUUGUGCUUGUAGACUCUUGCCACCUACCAUUAUACCUCUUCAUAACUUCAUAUAAAAACAAAGAGCACAGUACCACUGAAGAUUUUCAGGACAUUCUGGAGGAAAAACAGAUGAACUUCAACUUUACAAGGCCCCUCACCUUGUUCACUAUUUUCCAUGUCUGAGAACAAUAUCCAUAGAGAUUUUUGGGCACUUCUCACUGCCCAAAGAAACAAAGUAGCACUUAACAGCUUGCCACGUAUUUACAAGCCUGUUUACAGCUGGGAAAAGACUCAACCAGCGUGUCGAAACAUGGCGCAAUAAAGUGGCAUACUCCAUAUCCACAAAGUCAAACAUAUCCUUCGAUGCUGCUACUCUCUUAACGGAACUGCUGAAAUGAUUUAAUGUUUAAUCACCAGAGUCUCAAUGUCAACUUGUAGGGUAUUGCUAGCAUGUUUCACAGCAUUGGCAGGGCAGUUUGCAGGC